rnacentral:rRNA from 1 species
UGACUGAAGUGGGGGCCGGCUCCGGGGGGUGGAUUUUUGGCAAAGGGGUGACUAACACUUGAGUAACCUGCCCUUAACUCUGGGAUAAGCCUGGGAAACUGGGUCUAAUACCGGAUAGGAGCGUCCACCGCAUGGUGGGUGUUGGAAAGAUUUAUCGGUUUUGGAUGGACUCGCGGCCUAUCAGCUUGUUGGUGAGGUAAUGGCUCACCAAGGCGACGACGGGUAGCCGGCCUGAGAGGGUGACCGGCCACACUGGGACUGAGACACGGCCCAAACUCCUACGGGAGGCAGCAGUGGGGAAUAUUGCACAAUGGGCGAAAGCCUGAUGCAGCGACGCCGCGUGAGGGAUGACGGCCUUCGGGUUGUAAACCUCUUUCAGUAGGGAAGAAGCGAAAGUGACGGUACCUGCAGAAGAAGCACCGGCUAACUACGUGCCAGCAGCCGCGGUAAUACGUAGGGUGCGAGCGUUAUCCGGAAUUAUUGGGCGUAAAGAGCUCGUAGGCGGUUUGUCGCGUCUGUCGUGAAAGUCCGGGGCUUAACCCCGGAUCUGCGGUGGGUACGGGCAGACUAGAGUGCAGUAGGGGAGACUGGAAUUCCUGGUGUAGCGGUGGAAUGCGCAGAUAUCAGGAGGAACACCGAUGGCGAAGGCAGGUCUCUGGGCUGUAACUGACGCUGAGGAGCG